rnacentral:lncRNA from 1 species
AGCUUCUGCUAGUGUUUAGGUACUAGUGCAGUGUAGAACCCUUUUCUCAGGCAAAACCUAACAUCUGACCGCACCCUUUUUGCUAUUAAAAAAAAAAAAAAGCUUCUAUUUUUUUCCUCCUGUCGUUAAGAUAAAUUCUCCAGUAGACAACCUCUCCCACUAAUUGUGUAUUAGCAACGUAUUUUAUCUUGAGAGCUUGUACACUGGGCUCUCAACGUGGUGUGGAAGGUAGCCUGUUACAGUGCUGGAUUCAUAAAAGGGCCUUUAUGGUUUGUGAAAGAAUAUCUGUGUGCUUAGGGAGGAAACUUUUUGAUCUGCAGAAAAGCCAGAAGACAUCUAGGACAUCCAUAAAAAUUCAUCAGAGAGCAUUUUACUACUGAGCUGCAAAGGGAAAAACUUAAAAUGGAUAUGAAAAGUGAAGAAAGUGAUCAUAGGAGAAAACCAUUUCAGAUCAACCACCUCAGAAGAGCCAGAUUCCACUU